GCUUAACAGCUAGCUCAAAUACAUAAACAACCAAACAACAUUAUUUCAGAACAUUAUUUUAACCACUAAAUUAAAUCAUUCUUUUACCUUAGUACGGGAGACAGAAAAG
rnacentral:rRNA from 1 species